GAUGAACGCUGGCGGCGUGCCUAAUACAUGCCAGUCGAGCGAACAGACGAGGAGCUUGCUCCUCUGACGUUAGCGGCGGACGGGUGAGUAACACGUGGAUAACCUACCUAUAAGACUGGGAUAACUUCGGGAAACCGGAGCUAAUACCGGAUAAUAUAUUAAACCGCAUGGUUCAAUAGUGAAAGACGGUUUUGCUGUCACUUAUAGAUGGAUCCGCGCCGCAUUAGCUAGUUGGUAAGGUAACGGCUUACCAAGGCAACGAUGCGUAGCCGACCUGAGAGGGUGAUCGGCCACACUGGAACUGAGACACGGUCCAGACUCCUACGGGAGGCAGCAGUAGGGAAUCUUCCGCAAUGGGCGAAAGCCUGACGGAGCAACGCCGCGUGAGUGAUGAAGGUCUUCGGAUCGUAAAACUCUGUUAUUAGGGAAGAACAAAUGUGUAAGUAACUAUGCACGUCUUGACGGUACCUAAUCAGAAAGCCACGGCUAACUACGUG
rnacentral:rRNA from 1 species